ACCUCAUCGGUCUACUCGUCCAGAUCAUAUUGUGGUUAUCCUUCGAGGGCUUCCAGGUAGCGGAAAAAGCUAUUUGGCAAAGAUGUUGCGUGAUGUUGAAGUUGAAAAUGGUGGUGAUGCUCCUCGUAUACAUUCUAUGGACGAUUACUUCAUGACAGAAGUGGAAAAGGUUGAGGAUGGUGAUGCCAAAUCAUCAAAUUCAAUUAAAGGCAAGAAGCCAAUCAUGAAGACGGUCAUGGAAUAUUGUUACG
rnacentral:misc_RNA from 1 species